AUGAGGUUCCCUGCUGAGCUCUUGGGGCUGUUAAUGCUCUGGAUCCCUGCAUCAAGUGGGCAUAUUGUGUUGACCCAGACUCCACACAACCUCCCUGUCACUCUUGGAGAGACGGCCACUAUCUCCUGCAAGUCGAGUCAGAGUCUAGUAUAUAGUGAUGGAAAAACGUAUCUGUCCUGGUACCAGCAGAAGCCAGGAAAAGCUCCACACUUACUGAUCUACCACGUCUCCAACCGAUUCACUGGGGUCCCAGACAGGUUCAGUGGCAGUGGAUCAGUUACAGAUUUCACUCUUAAAAUCAGCAGGGUGGAGGCUGAGGAUGUUGCAGUUUAUUAUUGCCAACAAUCUACACAAUAUCCUCUCACAGUGGUGCAGCCCUGCACAAAAACCUGUGCUUGGUGUGGUCCAGCUGCCCAAAAGCAUGGCUUGACUUAG